CUCCGAGCUACAGCCUACAGAGUCAUCAACCACGCCUCUCAACAACUUAUUUUUUUGGUUGCACCAGCACCUUGUUGAACCUGUUAUUUGACUCUCCACUUGGUUUCUUUCUUUGAUAGUGCGCCUCUUCUGCCUGCCUUGUUGCCUGCCUCAACUAAACCUAACCCCAAUCAUACUGCUAAACUUAUGCCUGAACACAACUUUUUUUUUUUCAGCUGAAAGACUACGGUAUGCCCGGAGCUUACCCAUAAUGUUGCACAAUGAUUUAAGUCAACAGAUAAAAUUACGCACAUUUCGAUCUGACUAUACGUGUCUUGCGAGGGCUGGCUUUAGUUAAUUUGGAACCAUCUACAAAACAUGUACAUGUGUGGGCUCAUUACCUCCGGUUUACAACCUGGUGAUAAGGCUUCUGUCUGUAAUGCACUUAGUUCGAUCUGGAGCCAUUGGAUGGGCUGAUGACUAUCCAUCCCAGCACCCCUCUGCUCUGCAUGGCCACAGAAGUGAAAUCAUGGCCAGACUCACACCUUCCUCUCCACGGAAAACGUUUUGUAUGU
rnacentral:lncRNA from 8 species